UACGUAGGUCCCGAGCGUUGUCCGGAUUUAUUGGGCGUAAAGCGAGCGCAGGUGGUUUAUUAAGUCUGGUGUAAAAGGCAGUGGCCCAACCAUUGUAUGCAUUGGAAACUGGUAGACUUGAGUGCAGGAGAGGAGAGUGGAAUUCCAUGUGUAGCGGUGAAAUGCGUAGAUAUAUGGAGGAACACCGGUGGCGAAAGCGGCUCUCUGGCCUGUAACUGGCACUGAGGCUCGAAAGCGUGGGGAGCAAACAGG
rnacentral:rRNA from 1 species